CUCGCUCCUCAUCAGUCACAGCAGGACUGUACCAUUCUGUACCAUGCAGUGAGUUCAGAUGUCCUGUGUUCAGAUGUUUUGCCUUUUCAGGUUACAUGUUAUUGUCUUUCUUUAAAAGGAACGAAUGGACAGAUAUCAGUUAUUGUUUGUUGUACACAUUAGUAAAUGGAGAAUGGACGUCCAUGUACUUUCCCAAUGUUUCCACAAUGUUUUUUUUAUGGAGUGCCCAAGAACAAACUAGCAACGUAUCAUGCCGGUACUUAAAAAUGACGAUCAAAUCGGCUGGCGGAGGGGAGAGAGUGCCUCACCACAGGCUGGAGAUUUAGGAUAUAAAACGAAUGCGAAGGGAAGAUUAAAGUCACUUCCUAUCACUGUGGCGCCAAGUACCCAGGGAAAUAUAUAUAAUUUCACCCCUCUAAUGUUUCCGCUGCAGGAUCAUGUAGGGAUUCGCUAUCUGAUUGGACACAAUCUGGGCUUGGAACAUGAUGCAAGGGAAAGAGAGGGGGCUUUGAAACCGGGUGUGCACCAAUAGCGAUCCCAAACAGCCUCUUAUGUUCAUGGCCGUGCCUACAUCUGCACGUGAUGCACGCACACGCAGUGUGUUGUUUUUAUACACGGUAGAGUCUAGCCUGCAGCAGCAUAUGACAGACUCAGACUUUCACGCUGAGAGCAAUCAAGGGUGCUGAACCAACUGUGUCACAUGUGUCCUUUUCCUCCUGAAUGAAUAUGCGGCUUUAUCGCAGGUCUCCGUGACACUUUCUCCAUUCAUAUAACGUUCACAGGACUGUGUACAACUUUUCAUGAUUUCACUUUAAAAACUGCAUUGCUUGGAAGUGUUUAGGCUCCUAUACUUUCCUGAGUGCCCAUUAUGAAUGGUAUGCAUUUGCACAGAUUUACGUUUCCUCUGAAGCCACACAAAACCAUGUGAAAGCACUGAUAAGGGCAGAGGAGCCAGAGCGUGUUUUGUACGGCAGAUGUUGUCUCAACUGAAGGAAACCCUACACUCCUUCUGUGACCUCUGAAGGUCAGAAGCACACUAAUGUCUUUAUACAUUCAUUAAAGCCUGGUGCUCGUGAAAUAAUAAUACUAGUACCACAACCACAACAACUAAUGAAGUCCUUUAAUAAUAAAAGCUGAGAGACUAUGUGAAAGCAAUUAUUAAAAAAAAAU